AAUUGGAGGCCAGUGAAUGGCAAGACUAGGAAUGCCUGUACUUUGUGUACAAAAAAAACUUUUCAUCUAAGUGAAAAGACUUAGAUAAUGAAGGAAGACGAAAAGACCCCGCGGAACUUUACCUUUUCUAGUACCUCUGUCUACAAACUUAAAGCUACAUAAGGUUUGAUUGGGGCAAUCUUGGAACCAACAAAGCUUCCAAUUUUUUUAAAACAACAUUCAAAAUUUACUAAAGACCAAAAAGUAGUUACCCCGGGGAUAACAGCGUAAUUCAACUUAAGAGUACAUAUCGAAAGUUGGGUUUGCGA
rnacentral:rRNA from 1 species